UGAUUAUCUGGCAUCAGCUCUGAAAUUCAACCCCUCGUAUCCCAGAGUGCUGGACCUGAGUGGAACCUACAACAACCUGCAGGAUUCAGGAGUGAAGCAGCUGUGUGUUCUUCUGGAGAAUCCACGAUGUCGAUUUGAAACUCUGAGAUUGAAGGGCUGCGGUUUGUCAGAGAUCAGCUGUGAUUAUCUGGCAGCAGCGCUGAAGUCCAACCCCUGGUAUCCCAGAGUGCUGGACCUGAGUGGAACCUACAACAACCUGCAGGAUUCAGGACUGAAGCAGCUGUGUGUUCUUCUGGAGAAUCCACGAUGUCGAUUUGAAACUCUGAGACUGAGUCACUGUGACCUGUCAGAGAGAAGCUGUGAAGCUCUGGCCUCAGCUCUCAGCUCUCAGUCCUCUAAUCUGAGACAGCUGGACCUGAGUAACAUUAACCUGAAGGAUUCAGGGGUGAAGCUUCUGUCUGAAGGAC